UAACACGUAAGCAACCUGCCUAUCAGAGGGGAACAACAGUUAGAAAUGACUGCUAAUACCGCAUAUACCUAAGUAUCGCAUGAUACAAUAGGGAAAGGAGCAAUCCGCUGAUAGAUGGGCUUGCGUCUGAUUAGCUAGUUGGUGGGGUAAAGGCCUACCAAGGCGACGAUCAGUAGCCGGACUGAGAGGUUGAACGGCCACAUUGGGACUGAGAUACGGCCCAGACUCCUACGGAAGGCAGCAG
rnacentral:rRNA from 1 species